AAAGCGAUUGCCAAAUGAUCCCAUAGUAAGCAGGACAAAUGAUUUUUAAAUCAGUUAAAACUGAUUUUGUAAUUACAAUACUGACAUGAUGCAUCCUUUAAAAGUCACAACAAACGAUGAACCCGUGCCAUGCGAGGAGUCACUGAUGAUUGGAAUGAAAUGGCUUUGCAAAGAAGCAAGCUACCGGCGACUUUGCACAUGCAUGAAGAAUGCAUUUCCUGGUUGCAAAAGGGUUAGACAAUUAUAGUGUCUACUUAUACGAUGCCAAUCUCGUAAAGAUAACACCAGUACUGUAGAUUAAGCAGUGCAGUAAAGCAUGCAGUCAAGCAGUGAUUCCACAGAUAUUCAGAAUCGGCGAUUU